ensembl:snRNA U6 U6 spliceosomal RNA
AUGCUCACUUUGGCAGGACAUACAUUAAAAGUGGGACAAUACAGAGAAGAUUAGCAUGGGCCCUAUGCAAGGAUGACAUGCAAAUUCAUGUAAUGCUCCAUAUUAAA